rnacentral:lncRNA from 1 species
CAGACCCUCCCACUGAUCGAACUUACCUGGCCUCUUGGUGAAAUUAUGUUUUGAUCGGAUCACUUGACUAUUCGAGCUGACCCAUGUCAGCUAGGUAAAUCAGUGUGACUGAUUUAGGUGCUCCUAGACCAGCCCUUUUAAUGGUCUCCCUUAAGCUGACUUGGUGAAGCCAGUGGGAGGAUCAUGAUAAGUUGGUUCAUCUGACCUCAUCCUCUAUAUUAUUUAAAUUUUCUAAAAUUAUUAGGUCUUUAAAAUGAUAAAGUUAUAGAGAUAACUGAGUCAUAGCCUCCCAUUAAGGUGUUUGAUAAUGAGUUCAUUAACUCAAUAAUCA